CACAGUUGCAUGUUUUGCCUUUUUGACUGUUGUAUAAAAUGUUAUUUUAUUACUUUGAGAUUAUAGAUGCUUCCCUGUAUUUAUUAAAUGUGUAUUAAAGGAAAAAUUCAAGCUAUGAUAAUGUUCUAAUUCUUCCACUCGUUGUUCUAAAUGUUCUUCUGAUGUUUUGAAGAUAGCUUUAACUAUUCUUUUGUUAAUUUAAUUUCCAUUUCUAGUACCUGGCCUCACUGGAAUUGUUGGAGGGCGCCCCAGAGUGUCUCCAGUUUUGAAGCCAUUUUUCUUCUAUUAUCCCAAAAGAAAUGUUCAGAUCGACCUAUUUUUAAAUGGGCAGCAUGUUGAGAUAUUUGAGGAGGAUCUCACAUUUACAUCAGAUGAAGUGGUUCCGUUUGAUCCACCGAAGAUUAGCAGUGAAUUGAAAGAUCUGCCAAGUGGUCCACAUACUUAUCGCUUAGAAGAUCUUGCCUAUACGAGAAGUGGAGACAAAGGCAAUUCUGCAAACAUAGAUGAGAGCGUGUGGUGUUCAAAGCUCAGUAUGAAUUAAAGGUGUGAUAGCACGGCAUCCCCUCUACUAUCCAUACCUAAAGAAAACUUUAACAGCUCAAGCCCUGGAGAAUUACUUUCAACACCUUUUAGAGCGUGAAAAACCAGAACAACAACUAGUAACAAGAUAUGAGUUGCCAGGAAUCCAUGGAUUAAAUUUUGUUCUGAAGAAUUCCCUUGGUGGUGGUGGUAUAGCAUCCCUAAGAAGUGACC